UUUGAUCCUGGCUCAGAAUGAACGCUGGCGGCGUGCUUAACACAUGCAAGUCGAACGGAAUCCAAGGAGCUUGCUCCUGAAGAUUUAGUGGCGAACGGGUGAGUAUCACGUGAGCAACCUGCCCCGAAGACUGGGAUAACACCGGGAAACCGGUGCUAAUACCGGAUCCUUCCAAUGAUCGCAUGGUCGAUGGAAGAAAUGUUUUUUUCGCUUCGGGAGGGGCUCGCGGUCCAUCAGCUUGUUGGCGGGGUAACGGCCCACCAAGGCUACGACGGAUAGCUGGUCUGAGAGGACGAUCAGCCACACUGGGACUGAGACACGGCCCAGACUCCUACGGGAGGCAGCAGUGGGGAAUCUUGCGCAAUGGACGAAAGUCUGACGCAGCAACGCCGCGUGAGGGACGAAGGCUUUCUGAGUUGUAAACCUCUUUCGACAGGAACGAUUGUGACGGUACCUGUAGAAGAAGCACCGGCCAACUACGUGCCAGCAGCCGCGGUGAUACGUAGGGUGCAAGCGUUGUCCGGAUUUAUUGGGCGUAAAGAGCUCGUAGGCGGUUCGACAAGUCGGGUGUUAAACCCCCAGGCUCAACCUGGAGCCGCCACCCGAAACUGUCGUGACUAGAGUUUGGUAGGGGAUCACGGAAUUCCUGGUGUAGCGGUGAAAUGCGCAGAUAUCAGGAGGAACACCAGCAGCGAAGGCGGUGAUCUGGGCCAAUACUGACGCUGAGGAGCGAAAGCGUGGGGAGCGAACAGGAUUAGAUACCCUGGUAGUCCACGCCGUAAACGGUGGGCACUAGGUGUGGGGACUUUUCAACGGUUUCCGCGCCGCAGCUAACGCAUUAAGUGCCCCGCCUGGGGAGUACGGUCGCAAGACUAAAACUCAAAGGAAUUGACGG
rnacentral:rRNA from 1 species